UGCGCUGACUUUGGUUUCAUAUUUAACAUCUAAUGUAGAUUUCAUUGACAAGCCCAUAUUUGCCGUACCAGAAUAUAUGACAUUAUUUUCCGUUUUUUUCACCAUUUCUGCUAGAUUUCCGCCAUAUUGGGAUAUGGGUGCAUCAAAAUGGCUUGGGAGUGUUCUUAAUGGAUUCAGCGACCCUGAAAACUAUAAAAAUGACAUAUUACAAGGAUGGUUUGAUGAUAUUUGCACCCAACUAUAAGUCUCUGUGCUAUUUCGGCCGCCAUCUUGGAUUUUUGCCUCUCCUGAGAGUUGCCCACACUUUCCAGAUGUUGCAAACUGCACAAAUCCUAAGAACAGUCCCCCCUACCAGAAUCAAUUGUCAAACCUUCCUCCCCGGAAAUUGGUCACGGAUCUGGGAGUUCGACCCCUACUAAUUUAUAUGACUUAUUUUGUAAAUAUUGCAGUUAGUAUUUUGUUCUAUUUCCAUUAUUACUUUUAAUUUAUUGUAGGCAGUUUAGCUUCGUUAACAUUUUGACAUUUUACAGAUGGUUCGCGGUAAAGGCGCGAUAAUUCCAUAGAGCUAUAUAUAGAAAUUAGAGUCCGCACUGAUCACGUGACAGUGUGCCGACAUGGGGCCUUGUCCGCCAUGUUAGUUCCGGGGAGUUGACGCUGACGACCAUUAGAUCUUUUAAAUCAUGUUUUAUGAUCAAUAUGCCAGAAAGUUGCUGCUAUUUUGGCUGCUCAAAUACCCGGAAAAAGGGUAGUGGAAUAGCGUUUCAUAGAUUUCCACUAAAAAAAACCAAGAAGCUUCUGAACAGAUGGCUGUUAAACAUUAGACGAGACAAUUUCGUAACAGCAGAUAGGAUUAUUAGAUAUUAUCAUUCUUCAUGUAGAAUAAACAUACUAUUAGUCACUACGAAAUACCCAAGGGUUAUUCUCUAGACUGAAUCAAUGAUACUGAUAGGUCCUGAUCAGAUGAUAAUUAAAUUUAAAUGACAAGUUAUUGAUAGAGUCUAGGGCAGAGCCGGGCUAGUUGGAACGCAGGGUUAAUGAAUAGUUAAUUCUUAAAAGAAUUCUUCUGCUAGGAGCAAACCUGGUUGUCAUGUUUUGGUGAUUGGCAGAUUAGCACUUAUGAUCAUGGAAAAAUAUAUAUUAGAUUUAUUCUUUGGCCUUAAACUUUCUUAAGAUAUAAAGUUUGAUCAUCAGAUUAAUACCCAAGCAUUUAUUAUUGAAUGUUAUUGGAGCGCCUGUACUUGUACCAAACUGGAUUAUUAUUUUGCUUUUGGUGGUGAUGGGCAGAUCAACACUGUGCUUUUAUUAUUGACUGUUAUUGGAGCUCCUGUACUUUUUCAAACUGGAUUAUUAUUUUGUUUUUGGUGAUGGGCAGAUCAACACUAUGGUUUUCAAGGAAAGAUGUCUUAUUUCCAAUUUUAAAGAAUCUUGCUGAAAUCUUAAUGUUUUUCCUUCAACUUUAUUCUGGUUCCUUAUUGUAUCUAAAAUAAAUUAAGAAUGCA